AAGUCGUAACAAGGUUUCCGUAGGUGAACCUGCGGAAGGAUCAUUAACACUCCAAAACAAACUCAUUACUCUUGGCAACAAGGGUAUAUGAAACCCUAUUCACAAGCGAACCCGAAGGGAAACGUGGGAAGGCGAGACUUUCCGGUUUCAAGCUCUCACUCUUUCUCCUUCAACAUUUUCUUUUGUCCCUUUUUUUUUCUUUUAAGCCCCACACAUUUUACUUUUAGACUGACUGAGACGCAAGUCUCGUUGUACUUCGAAAGAAGCGCAAUGAAAAUCGAUAAGAUUAACAAAAAAACAACUCUUAGCAACGGAUAUCUUGGUUCUC
rnacentral:misc_RNA from 1 species